AGAGUUUGAUCAUGGCUCAGAAUGAACGUUGGCGGCGUGGAUUAGGCAUGCAAGUCGGACGCUCCUUGGGGGCGUGGCGAAAGGGUGAGUAAGGCGACGGUAACCAACCCCGCGGAGGGGGACAGCCUCGGGAAACCGUGGGUAAUCCCCCAUGACGCCCGACGAGGACAUCCUCGACGGGCCAAAGGUGAGAGUCCGCCGCGGGACGGGCCGUCGUGGUAUCAGCUAGAUGGUGGGGUGAUGGCCCACCAUGGCGAUGACGCCUACCGGGCGUGCGAGCGUGGCCCGGCACACUGGGACUGAGACACUGCCCAGACACCUACGGGUGGCUGCAGUCGAGAAUCUUCGGCAAUGGGCGACAGCCUGACCGAGCGACGCCGCGUGGAGGAUGAAGGCCUUCGGGUUGUAAACUCCUGUCGAGGGGGAACAAGGGCGUGCGAAGAGCACGACUUGAGUGAUCCCUGGAGGAAGCACGGGCUAAGUUCGUGCCAGCAGCCGCGGUAAGACGAACCGUGCGAACGUUAUUCGGAAUCACUGGGCUUAAAGCGCGUGUAGGCGGAUGGCCACGUCUGUUGCUGAAAGCCCCCGGCUCAACCGGGGGA
rnacentral:rRNA from 1 species